GGAGGCAGAGCGGAGAGCCGGCGGCGGAGUCCGAGCAGCACGCGCGGCCAACUGUCCUGGCGGGAUAUGAGACACCCGUCAUAAGCUCCGGAGAGGUGCCUUCCACAGAGACCAGCAGAGGAGUGGGCCAACAUGAAGUCCAGUCCUGCCAUCCAAGCUGCCAUUGACCUCACAGCGGGGGCUGCAGAUUUUAUCUAUUUACUGAGCAUAAGCAGGGGGAUCAGCAGACAGAGAGGGAGAAGCAGUCUCCCUAAUGAGCAGGAGACCAAUGAGGGGUUCGACCCAAGACCCUGGGAUCAGGACCUGAGCUAUCCAGGUGCCUGACCGGGCAGCUCUUUGACACCUUGAAAGUGAAGAUGCAGACGUUCCCUGACCUGUACCGGGGCCUCACCGACUGCUGCCUGAAGACCUACUCCCAGGUGGGCUUCCGCGGCUUCUACAAGGGGACCAGCCAACGUUGAUCGCCAGCAUCGCCGAGAACUCGGUCCUCUUCAUGUGCUACGGCUUCUGCCAACAGGUGGUGCGGAAAGUGGUUGGAUUGGAGAAGCAGGCCAGGCUGAGUGAUCUGCAGAACGCAGCCGCAGGAUCCUUCGCCUCUGCCUUUGCGGCCCUGGUGCUCUGCCCCACUGAGCUCGUCAAGUGCCGGCUGCAGACCAUGUAUGAGAUGGAGGCGUCAGGGCAGAUCGCCAGAAGCCACAAGUAAGCGCUGUUCGGGCACAAACGCAGGGUCUCUCGUUGCCUUGCUGCAUUGAUUAUAUGUCAGUUUUAUAUUCUACUAAAACUCAGUGGCAGAGAAAGAGAUUUAUCUACUCCAAAAUACUGUGUUUUUAGAACUCUUUCCCCUACCAGUCAGAGGGGGACUUCCUAAAUGACCUUUCAGAGGGCCGGAUCCACUCCUGCUCCCUCAACGGACCACUGUCUGCAGAUGUUUCUCACCUGGACGUGGAGAGGCCGAGAGAUCCUCUCACUCUUGGCUCAUUGAGCGCAUGAGGCAGCGUCCCCGGCUGUGUUGGAGGCACACAGCAGACAGCUUUGAAACCGUGUCUGAGAGCUGAGCCUUUAGAAAUGCCAACUUGGUUUCCAAGAUGAAUAUUUGGUGCCCAAUCCUACCUUGGUAGGAUUGCAGAUGAUUUCUUUGGACCGUCUAUGGCCUGCUGAUGCACUUUGGCCCACUCACUCACUCGCUGCCUCCACCGACCAGAAACCCUUCCCGGGAGCAGAGUGCCAAAGCCAAGAGAAGCCCUUGUUCCCUGUCUGGUGCCUGAAGGACAGCGCUCGUGGGCAAGGUCCUCUUUCGGAUGGAACUGGACAGAACAGAGGGCUUGUCCUCCACAGUGAGUGAUGUUGGGGUGACCCUCUUGUUUACGUUUAUCUCAGGAUCACUAACUGCCAUAUUUCUUAUUGGGUUGGAGCCUUUUACAUUUGGUACUGGCAGUCCGUGGAUCUUCAGGAUUGUAUAUAGGGGGUGACUUUACAAAGCAAUGAAACAAGCCAAGUAAUUUUAUUUAGCUAUGCCAUACGAAUGCACUAACCACCACCACAAAACUCCAGGUUACCUGGUGUAAGAGGGUCCCUUCUCGUCCCCACUUAGGCAAGCCUCAUCACACCGUGCUGCUCCAAGACCAGCAAGGGCUCUCUCGGAAACCAGUGUUCUUAAGCAGGCUGACACUGCUAACCUCUGUCCCGUGUGUGUGUGUGUCCUUGUUGGCACAGUGUCCCCCUCGAGUGAAACCUCUGGUUUCCUGAAGCUUUUUGUUCUCUGCAGAGGCUCUGUGCUAACUCUAGCCCUGCGCCAGAAGCCAGAUGGUCGGGGCAGUGAGCAGCUGCUCUUUCUGUGUACUGCAGUUGUGCAAGUCGGUCCCCCAGCAGCAUUCUUCUGCCUGCUUGUGUGGAUGGGGUUGAUGUAGCAGGAAAGUGUUCUAUUUUUUUUUUUUUAAUAGCUAAAUUUCCUAUUAUGUUUGGGUAUCUAUACCAGGGUAGUCAGAUCUAUUUGAAAAAAACCAGUAUCAUUCUGAUGUACCAUGAUGUAAGAUUCUCGAGUUGUUCAAGGAAGUAUUUAUGUCAGGUUGUAAGGAGACAAGCCUGUAAAUUCUCUUUAUGUGAGCAAAAGCACAAGAGUGUAGCAACUCAGUGGCCAGGAAUUUGGAUGCAUCUUGGAGGGUUAGGGAAGAGGAACCCUAACUGUAAUCUUCUUUCAAAAAGCAAGUCUUGAAAAUUGGGGUUUUCUUCCUUAGUGCCAGCUAAGUAUCUACCCCCCCACCCCACCCCCUCCCCUGUCCAUUUACCUAAGCCUGCCACCUGGUCUGCCCCUCUGGCUUAUGGCUGCAUGCAUGUUCAAGGGAACAGUACAAACUGUUUAGCGGCAACAUGUGUUUCUGUAACACGAAUUAUAGCAAGUAAUGUAGUCAGAGCUUUUCCUAAAAAGCCUUUAUAUGGGCUGUUGCACUGGUAGCUGAGACCCUUUGAGGGCUAUUUGGAGGGAAAGAGAGCACCUGCAUCCAGGCAUGUUCAUAAAUAAGGACAUUUUAUUUAUAUAAUAUAUAAAUAUAUAAACAUAUACAUAAUGAUGUUAAGGUAACAACAUCCAGCAAUGAAGAGAAUAGGAUUCCUUGUGGACACUGGACUAACCAGUGUUGAUAGUGAAAAAAUGAUCUUCACAGAGUUUUCCUACAUUUAAAUGAAGUUGGCUUGGAGCAGAGUCUGUGUCAGGGGGUGUACUUUAAAAUCAUCUAGAUUUCUCUAGGCAGACAUUUCCUUUGACUUCACAGUGAUGUUACAAAGAGAAUCUACUGUAACGUCUGCUUAUGUUUACCCAGAUUCUCUUGUCCUCCAAGGACUGCCUGUUAUUGAAGCUUGUAUCACAAGCUCUGCGGGGACUGCUUAUAGGAACGGUCAUGUGGGCUCAAGCCUUGUUCUGGUGUCAGUCGGAGGUUUGUUAAAUAGCUUAGAACUGACCUCUUCAAUCUGACAUUACACAUGUGAAAGCAGGGACUACUUGCCCAAAAAUACAUAAUAAACCUCACGCAAUAUUGUGAGGAAUCAUUUUAAAUGUUAUUUUGAUAUGAAAGUUCUUUUCAAACUUUUAACUUUGUCACACAGUCCCCAGAAACAGUAGUUGUCUCAACUCUGGCAUAUACGUCCUUCAGGAAAGAAAAAGGACCAUUAACCUUGCAUAUUGUAUAUACUUAAGGUUGUCAAAAAUGUGUAUGUAAAUGUAACUAUAAGUAUACAUGCAAGGAAGGAGGGUUAGGAGACCUAAAUGUGUGGCAGGGAUUGUGGAGAACAGGGUUCUGUCCCAGAUGGCACUAGUAUCUCACUUCUUCAAAAUACAGCUCGACUGCAAACUCCUCACGGUAGAUUUUCCAUGUUUUUUUUUUUUUUAUGGGGAUUAUCGAUUUCAUUUCGUGGAAGGUAAAGCCUAGGAAAGAAGAAACAUGUUUCAAGCACAGAAGGCCAACCAGGGUUAGUCUUAGUCCCUCUCCUGUGCCUCAGUUGGCACAUACAAGUGGAAGGGCUUGGUAACAUCUGGGAUCGCCAAUGUUGGGGCAGUCAGUAAGGCUGUUUGUCAUUCCCGAAAUGCUCCUUCUGCCGCAGUUGUCCACUCUACCAUAGUGAGUCCUCCCUUAGCCAGUUCACAGAGAGGUCGCACCAUCUCUGCAAACCGCAGUAUCCACAGCUUGCAGCAGCCCACCGUCCCAAGGAACUCCCUCAUGGAGACCGAAGCCUAAAUAAGUGGCGGCUCUGACAGAGCUGUGUUUUUAUUGCUGACACCCAAUACCCUUUUCCCUGCAGAGUUUGUAAGAGAGCUCUCGUC